rnacentral:rRNA from 1 species
GACGGAGGAUGCAAGCGUUAUCCGGAAUUAUUGGGCGUAAAGCGUCCGCAGGUGGCUGUUCAAGUCUGCUGUCAAAGCGCAGAGCUUAACUCUGUACAGGCGGUGGAAACUGAAGAGCUAGAGUAUGGUAGGGGUAGAGGGAAUUCCCGGUGUAGCGGUGAAAUGCGUAGAUAUCGGUAGGAACACCAGUGGCGAAGGCGGUUUCCUGGGGCAUUCUUGACGCUGAGGCGCGAAAGCUGGGGGAGCGAACGGG